rnacentral:lncRNA from 1 species
AAAGGAUGAAACGAAACAGAGAGCAGGGGAAAGAAAGAAGGAAGGAAAAAAAGAAAGAAGGAAAAAGGGGAAAAAUUGGGAUUUCAAGGCUUGAAAGUUAAAUAUGUAAGUCAAUUUAGCCAUUUUACUUAAUUUUGAUGUUUUGGAAGCUUUGGGACAAGGUUUUGAUGAAAUUAAUGAAUUUUUUGAAAGUUAUUAGAUUUUUAAAUAUUGUUCAUGUUGAAUAAAAAGAUGAAUUAGGGGUUAGAUUGACAGGAAUUCAAGUUAGAAAUGAAAUAAGGAUUGAAUUGUAAAUUAAUUCAUAAGUUUUAUUUUGUAGGGACUAAAUUGAUGAAAUUUCAAAAUUAGGAAAAUAUGCUGGAAAUUUAAUAGUUAAAUAUGAGUUUAGUUAAAAAUUGAGUAGAAAUAAAGUAUGAAUUAAGAUAGAAAAGUAAGUGAAUUGGUUAGGAUUAAAUUGAAAUUAAAAGUAGAAAAUCAACAUUUU